AUAUUACACCUUUAUCAAAAUACCCCUCUCUUUAUCACAAAUACCCGCGAACCCGACCCGAAUUUCGUUUCCAUUUCCGUCCACGCCACCGGCCAAGGUUGGUACCAAUCGAAAGAUCGUGCGACGCCGGUCAUCUCCACGCCAUCCUUGUCACAAAAAUAACCGGGUCAACUCGACCUGCGAACCUGACUCGGAUUUUGUUUCCGUUUCCGGCAACUCCACCGGCCAAGGUUGGUACCGAUCAGAAGCUCGUGCGACGCCGGUCAUCUCCAUGUCAUCCUUGUCGCCGUAAAGCAUUCGGAAAGCUGCCGAUCGAAGUCGUGAAAAGUCACAGAAUCCCCGCUUCAAUUCGCCGUUGUUUCUCCAGUUUCCGGUGACGCCACCACUUGAGUUUUGUUCUCCACAAUUCCCUCUGUCUUUUCUGACCAACCACAGCCACCGGAGGAGCCGAUUUGCCGUUGAUCGGCCGUUGAAGGAUUCACGGGUUUGGGAGAAAUGAACUUAAUAUUUUUGAAGCAAAGUUCAAAUAAGAAUAAGUGAAAGGGCUUCAUAAAAUUUUACACAGAAAAGACAAAAACAGUGG
rnacentral:lncRNA from 1 species